rnacentral:misc_RNA from 1 species
UUUCCGUAGGUGAACCUGCGGAAGGAUCAUUAAUGAGUUGUCAUGGGGUUCGAUGCUGGCAGCCAGUUUUUGGAUGCAUGUGCUUGCCCUAACAAUCAUCUUCUUCCAAACACCUGUGCACAUUUUUGAGGGAGUCUUGAGUUGGUUGCCGCUCUUGGGUGAUUUUCUCACAUUCCCUUAAAUCAUUAUACGCUAUUAACAAUGUUGAACGUGCUCAGUGCCGCAAGGCCAUUAAUAUAAUACAACUUUUAACAACGGAUCUCUUGGCUCUC